rnacentral:rRNA from 1 species
CGGAGAGUUUGAUCCUGGCUCAGAAUCAACGCUGGCGGCGUGCCUAACACAUGCAAGUCGAACGAGAAAGUGGAGCAAUCCAUGAGUACAGUGGCGACCGGGUGAGUAACACGUGACCAACCUGCCCUCGAGUGGGGAAUAACUCCGGGAAACCGGGGCUAAUACCGCAUAACAUCCUCGGAUCGGAAGAACUGGGGAUCAAAGGAGCAAUUCGCUUGAGGAGGGGGUCGCGGCUGAUUAGCUAGUUGGUGAGGUAAUGGCUCACCAAGGCGAAGAUCGGUAUCCGGCCUGAGAGGGCGCACGGACACACUGGAACUGAAACACGGUCCAGACUCCUACGGGAGGCAGCAGUGGGGAAUUUUGCGCAAUGGGGGAAACCCUGACGCAGCAACGCCGCGUGGAGGAUGAAGCCCCUUGGGGUGUAAACUCCUUUCGACCGGGACGAUACUGACGGUACCGGUGGAAGAAGCACCGGCUAACUACGUGCCAGCAGCCGCGGUAAUACGUAGGGUGCAAGCGUUAAUCGGAAUUACUGGGCGUAAAGCGUGSGCAGGSGGCUUUGCAAGACAGAUGUGAAAUUCCCCGGGCUUAACCUGGGAACUGCAUUUGUGACUGCAUGGCUGGAGUGCGGCAGAGGGGGAUGGAAUUCCGCAUGUAGCAGUGAAAUGCGUAGAUAUGCGGAGGAACACCGAUGGCGAAGGCAAUUCCCCUGGGCCUGCACUGACGCUCAUGCACGAAAGCGUGGGGAGCAAACAGGAUUAGAUACCCUGGUAGUCCACGCCCUAAACGAUGUCAACUGGUUGUUGGACGGCUUGCUGUUCAGUAACGAAGCUAACGCGUGAAGUUGACCGCCUGGGGAGUACGGCCGCAAGGUUGAAACUCAAAGGAAUUGACGGGGAACCCGCACAAGCGGGUGGGUGAUGUGGUUUAAUUCGAUGCAACGCGAAAAACCUUACCUACCCUUGACAUGCCAGGAACUUGCCAGAGAUGGCUCGGUGCUCGAAAGAGAACCUGGACACAGGUGCUGCAUGGCCGUCGUCAGCUCGUGUCGUGAGAUGUUGGGUUAAGUCCCGCAACGAGCGCAACCCUUAUCAUUAGUUGCUACGCAAGGGCACUCUAAUGAGACUGCCGGUGACAAACCGGAGGAAGGUGGGGAUGACGUCAGGUCAUCAUGGCCCUUAUGGGUAGGGCUACACACGUCAUACAAUGGCCGGUACAGAGGGCUGCCAACCCGCGAGGGGGAGCUAAUCUCAGAAAACCGGUCGUAGUCCGGAUCGCAGUCUGCAACUCGACUGCGUGAAGUCGGAAUCGCUAGUAAUCGCGGAUCAGCUUGCCGCGGUGAAUACGUUCCCGGGUCUUGUACACACCGCCCGUCACACCAUGGGAGCGGGUUCUGCCAGAAGUAGUUAGCCUAACCGCAAGGAGGGCGAUUACCACGGCAGGGUUCGUGACUGGGGUGAAGUCGUAACAAGGUAGCCGUA